rnacentral:lncRNA from 1 species
GUGCUAUCUCCUAAAGCAGUCAUUCUGAAACCCAAUCUGGGGACAGUGCAGACUAAAUAAAAUUUCAUUUUGAUUUGGCCUCCUGCUGCGAAUGGGACUGCUUUGUCUCAGCCGACAGAACGAGCGAGCCAGAAAGUUGAGUAAUGAAGACAUUGAGAUAAGAAGUGAUACAGAAACAGACAUAUGCGCCACAGAAAAACCACAAUCCAAGCUCAUGUUGAAACAUGUGUUCCCAGAUUGGACUUUGGAAAUAAGUACCACCAAACCUCUCCAUGUUAAUUCUUCAAAUUAAAUGAGGGUAGUGUAACUAUGGGGCUUCCCAAGUGGCUCAGCAGUAAAGAAUCCGCCUGUAAUGCAGGAGACAAGUUCAAUGCAGUUCAAUCCCUGAGACGGGAAGACUCCCUAAAGUAGUAAAUGGUAACCCACUUCAGUAUGCUUGCUUGGAGAAUUCCUUGGACAGUGGAACCUGGUAGGCUACAGUCCACAGAGUCGCAGAGAGUCAGGCACAACUGAGCAUGCGUGCAUCGCACCUGUAUAUCACAAUCUCCAAUUCUGCCUUCUUGGAUGAAGCACCUAUGGUACACCAAGUGUGGAGCUUUGCAGAUGUAAGAACAGCAGCCUUGAACAGAGGAAAGAAGAGGAGGAGGCCACCAAGGCUGGGUCCUGCGUAUUGUUUGAUGCUUCCUUUUUGUUCACAGCCAUCGGUGAGCUGGGGUAUCAGACCCCAUAGGAGGUUGCCUGUCUCUCUGCUUUCUCAGAGCUUGAAUUGAACCCUGGUCUGAUUGACUCCAAAGCAAGACUCAUUCACAGCCUGAGCUGGCCAGUGGGGAAAGGGAUAAUCAAGGCUCAAGUCCAGAUGCCCCAGUAGCAUGCUGCAGGCACUGGCAAAGAAGCAAUGCCACUGUACUGACUAAAGGAGACCACCCCUCAUCCCGAAUAUUCUUUUAAAACCAAGGAUGAGCUGCCAUAUGAGAUAUUACCUGACCAGCUCCUAUUGAGUCCUGAGCGAUCUGACUUUUCAUCAAGUAUUUUGUCCUGAACUCUAGAGAGUUAAGUAUUUUGUGCCCAUUUCACAGAUUUGAGAAAUGAAAUUCAUAAAGUAAAAUAUUUCUCCAAGGCUAGGAUGAAUGAAUUGCACAGCUGGAAAUGAGAGAAAAGCCAGGGGCACUUCCCCUGGUGGUGGUGGUGGGCCUCAGUCUUCCCUGGUCGCCGUGUUUGAUUCCCAAAGAGCCUUUGUAAGUUUGUGUGCUAUGAUCCUCUCAGUGACAUUUGAAAGUGAGAAGAACCAACUGUGAUACACACACACAAACUCCUUCAAAAUAUCUUGGGCGCACUCUUUUUUAAAGCAGAACUCCAUGUGAGUGAUAGCCAAUUAUUUGGAGGAACUCAAGAGCCUCUUGAUGAAAGUGAAAGUGGAGAGUGAAAAAGUUGGCUUAAAGCUCAACAUUCAGAAAAUGAAGAUCAUGGCACCUGGUCCCACCACUUCAUGGGAAAUAGAUGGGGAAACAGUGGAAACAGUGGCAGACUUUAUUUUUCUGGGCUCCAAAAUCACUACAGAUGGUGACUGCAGCCAUGAAAUUAAAAGACGCUUACUCCUUGGAAGGAAAGGUAUGACCAACCUAGAUAGCAUAUUCAAAAGCAGAGACAUUAGUUUGCCAACAAAGGUCCGUCUAGUCAAGGCUAUGGUUUUUCCUGUGGUCAUGUAUGGAUGUGAGAGUUGGACUGUGAAGAAGGCUGAGCGCCAAAGAAUUGAUGCUUUUGAACUGUGAUGUUGGAGAAGACUCUUGAGAGUCCCUUGGACUGCAAGGAGAUCCAACCAGUCCAUUCUGAAGGAGAUCAGCCCUGGGAUUUCUUUGGAAUGAAUGAUGCUAAAGCUGAAACUCCAGUACUUUGGCCACCUCAUGCGAAGAGUUGACUCAUUGGAAAAGACUCUGAUGCUGGGAGGGAUUGGGGGCAGGAGGAGAAGGGGACGACAGAGGAUGAGAUGGCUGGAUGGCAUCACUGACUCAAUGGACGUGAGUCUCAGUGAACUCCGGGAGUUGGUGAUGGACAGGGAGGCCUGGCGUGCUGACACAACUGAGUGACUGAUCUGAUCUGAUCUGAUUGGGUGCCAGGCAAUGUUUUGCACUUGAUGUAUAUGAACUGCUCAAAACCACCUUAUAAAGUAUGCAUUAUUGUUUUCAGGGCUUCCCAGAUGGCUUAGUGGGUAAAGAAUCUACCUGCAAUAAAGGAGACACAGGCUCAACCUCUGGGUUGGAAAGAUCCCCUGAAGGAGGGAAGGGCAACCCACUCCAGUAUUCUUGCCUGGAGAACCCCAUGGACAGAGGAGUCUUCCACGAUACAGUCCAUGGGGUUGCAAAGAAUCAGACACAACUGAGUGACUGAGCACACAGGCAUACACACAGCAUUGCUUUCAUCCCCAUUUUAUGAAUGAGGAAUCUGAACCACGAGGACUAGGUGACUCACUCCAGGCCAUGCAGCUGGAGAAUGGAGCCAGGAUCUGAACCCAGGAUGGGCUUCAUGAGCCUGGACCACUGAGCCACUCUGCUUCCUGCGAAAGCAAUGGUGGUUGGUUAGAGUGAGACCCAUCCCAGACCAUGGCAGCAAGAAACUAGGAAAUACUGAUUAAAACCCUAUGAACUUCUCGGAGACUUUGCUAUGCUGACGGGCGCUGUGAAUUUCUACGAUGGGACACUACUUCUCAAGCUGAUCUGUGCCUCGUCAGUUGGCAGUGGCAGGGAGCGAGGUCUCAGGAUGGGAAGACCUUUCAACGUGGAUGAAAGCUCAACUGGUCCAAACUGUACCUGGGGCCUGAAACUGACCUCAGGAUGUCAAAUGGAGAUUUGGAGAUUUCAUCACAAGUGCAAGAACUUGGACUUCCUAUUGGUCCAGUGGAUAAGAAUCCACCAGCCAAUGCAGGAUACACAGGUUCGAUCCCUGGUCUGGGGAGAAUCCACAGGCUGUGGACCAACUAAACCCGGGCACCACAACUACUGAAGCCCGAGCACUCUAGAGACUGUGUUUGACAGCAAGAGAAGCCAUCACAGUUAGAAGCCUGUGUACUGCAACAAAGAGAAGCUCCCGCUUGCCACACCUAGAGAAAAGCCCUUGCAGCAACAAAGACCCAGUACAGCCAAAAAUAAAUAAAAAUUAUUGUUUUUUAAAGUGCAGUUCUUUUUCUGGGUCACAAAUGCAAGUCUGAGAAAUAAGAGAACAAGCAGUCACUAUAUCCAUGGCUUUCAAACAAAUUUAAGGGAAGUCAGAAAAAAAUAAGGGAAGUUCUUCAGCACUGCCGUUUUGUAAAAAGUGUGGUGUUCUAGGAGGGGGUAGAUGGGGAUACGGCAGUGGGGAUGGAGGGCACCAGAAGUCACCAAGGUGCCAAAGAGAUGUGUUGAGUCACCUCCACCCAGCCCAGCUACUCUCUGUAGACGAACAGCAAGCACGAACAAUCUCAAGUUCACGGGUGUCUUGGAGGGACGGGCUGACUUAACCACAGAGUUGAAAUCCCCCAAGACGGUCAGUGUAAACCGCCACGGGGAUUGGUCUCUGCCUCUGGAAGCUAAACCCUUAUCGCUCUACAAUGAGGGUGCUUUACAUUUGGAAUCAAUAUUUAAUUCAUCAACACUCAGCCUGAAAACUGAAUGUACUGUCGGAGUUGGCAAGGGGAUGCGAAAUUUAUGUUUUAAUUAGUUGGCCCUUUCAUCAAACGGUAGACACGAUGUCUGUGGUUUAGGACUUUGAAACAAACCCUAUGUGAGGGGGAAAUCACCAGGCACAUAGAACCCAUUCAUGUGCAUGUUUAUGGUUUCUCUACCUGCGAAACGGAAAGAGUUUGUGAAGGUAUAUUUUGGGGAAAAUUUACACAGGUUUCUUGUUCAUCAAAUUAAGCCAGUGCGUAUUUUACUCAGCAGAACAUGAACUUGGGUGUGGCUUCUUAGAUUGGGGUGGGGUUUUGCCCGGGAUUUUUCUGAAUUGUUCAGUGAAGAUACCACACACAUGGCAAAGAAAACAUCCAGGUUAAAUUGGGUAGAGAUCAUUUUUUAAAGUUUUAUGCAUGUGUGUGUGUGCACGCACACAUGUGAUUAUAUAUAUAUAUUUUUUUGUCUGCCUCGGGCUUCAUUGCUCUAUGGGACGUGGAAUCUUAGUUCCCUUACCAGGGAUCGAACCCAUGUCCCCAGCACUGCAAGGAGGAUUCUUAAUCACUGGACUACCAGUGAAGUCUCUAGAGAUCAUUUAAGUAUGUGAACUCAAGUACUAUGAAUUAAACCUUCACAGACAACGGCGUGUGGAAAGGAAGUCAGAAACCGUUGCUGAGGAUGAGACACAAGCAGAGCGCUUUCGUCCAUCUUUGCGGUAACAGUUCUGUGAAAUCAAUGAGAUUAUUUGUAUAACCAGAGUCUUGACUUCCUGUUACCAAUGCUGAGAAAUAGAAGUCAACCAAAGCACUGGUUCUUCUCAGUCAGACCCUUGGAAGGGUCAGCACCCAGGAAACAGCUCUGUCUAAACUGGUCACACGCCCAGCCUACAACACAACAACCCUCCAGACGGAUGCUCCAGAGAAGAGCGGAAGGUACUUAACGGCUUCUCCCAUCCUUGUAGACCCCAAGCCCAUCCUCAUGAUGCACUCUGCUCUAAGAGGACUGGAAAACCAGUAUCUUUCAUAGUAAUGACUUCCAGUUUACAGCCUUCAUUGGUUAUAUUUCCUCAAUAGCUGUUGUGUUGAGAUUAACUGCAUAAAUGGUCUGCAGCUGUCUGUUAUGAAUUAAGGGAGUUUAAUCAAAGUAUUUCUAAUGUACAGCAUAAUGAUAAUACAUGGGGGAAGUACUAUUUAAGAGAUAAUGAUGGCUUCAGAAGAUCACUGUUGUAAUGUUUAGUGCAUAUGCCUUCAGCAUUGAAUUUGUUGUUGUUCUGAAUAUGCUUAAUGGAUCGCUGAAAGGCGGCCUAAUGCAGGAUUGUUUGAUGGGGCUGACAGAGCUGGAAUUAGCCCAUUGCUGUUUACUGCAUACAGCCAUUAAGAUUAAUUGCUGCCAGAUAAUUUUGACUGUUUUUAUCUUCUGGAAAAAGUGUCACUAAUGGGUUUAUAAAUUGGUUCACUAUUACUAAUAGUCAGGCCAGUGUAACAGGAUAGAAUGUCAGCUAAUUCUAAAGAUAAAGGUAAAAAAAAAGUCUAAAGUACUAUAUGGCUUGCUAGUUUUCAGGAAUACUGUCAUUUAAUAACAGACACGCUGAUAUACGAUGCUCAUUAAUGUGAUUUCCUGAGCUUUGCGUUGAACCUAAUAGAUGCUAAUAAAGUCUUAUUGAAUGUCCCAU